UUAAAUUUAUUUCCAAUAUCUCUUAAGUUAUAAGUGUAAAUUAUAAUGUAUUAAACUUUGGA
rnacentral:tRNA from 1 species